rnacentral:rRNA from 1 species
GACAGAGGGUGCAAACGUUGCUCGGAAUUACUGGGCGUAAAGCGCGUGUAGGCGGUUUCGCAAGUCAGGUGUGAAAGCCCGGGGCUCAACCCCGGAAGUGCACUUGAUACUACGGAGCUGGAGUACUGAAGAGGAGAGCGGAAUUCCCGGUGUAGAGGUGAAAUUCGUAGAUAUCGGGAGGAACACCAGUGGCGAAGGCGGCUCUCUGGGCAGAUACUGACGCUGAGACGCGAAAGCAUGGGGAGCAAACAGG